rnacentral:rRNA from 1 species
GUCGAGCGGUAACAUUUCUAGCUUGCUAGAAGAUGACGAGCGGCGGACGGGUGAGUAAUGCUUGAGGAAUAUGCCUUAGGGUGGGGGACAACAGUUGGAAACGACUGCUAAUACCGCAUAACGUCUACGGACCAAAGGGGGCUUCGGCUCUCGCCCUUAGAUUAGCCCAAGUGGGAUUAGCUAGUUGGUGAGGUAAUGGCUCACCAAGGCGACGAUCCCUAGCUGGUUUGAGAGGAUGAUCAGCCACACUGGAACUGAGACACGGUCCAGACUCCUACGGGAGGCAGCAGUGGGGAAUAUUGCACAAUGGGCGCAAGCCUGAUGCAGCCAUGCCGCGUGUGUGAAGAAGGCCUUAGGGUUGUAAAGCACUUUCAGUAAGGAGGAAAGGUUAGUAGUUAAUACCUGCUAGCUGUGACGUUACUUACAGAAGAAGCACCGGCUAACUCCGUGCCAGCAGCCGCGGUAAUACGGAGGGUGCGAGCGUUAAUCGGAAUUACUGGGCGUAAAGCGUACGCAGGCGGUUUGUUAAGCGAGAUGUGAAAGCCCCGGGCUCAACCUGGGAACUGCAUUUCGAACUGGCAAACUAGAGUAUGAUAGAGGGUGGUAGAAUUUCAGGUGUAGCGGUGAAAUGCGUAGAGAUCUGAAGGAAUACCGAUGGCGAAGGCAGCCACCUGGGUCAAUACUGACGCUCAUGUACGAAAGCGUGGGGAGCAAACGGGAUUAGAUACCCCGGUAGUCCACGCCGUAAACGAUGUCUACUA